AAGGCCACCCUGUCUUCCGUGGGCAGGGGCACCUUCCACUCUCAUCCCCGGUUGGAUGCUGCAGGUCCCAUCCAGCCUGGCCUGGAACACUUGCAGGGAUGGGGCAGGCUCAGCUUCCCUGUGCAGUGUGCUCUAAUAUCUCUCCACUGGCAUCCUGAAAAAUGUUGUCAGCGUGUUUUGUUGGACGCCGGUAAGCAGGACCUGGGUGAAAAGGACAUUCUCUGAGGUGCUGGGAGAAGGAGGACUCGUGCGGGCACCUCCAGAGACAGCGGGAACGGGAGCGUGCUGCGGAGAAGGAAAGUUCCAGGGGAAUUGGCACGAGAGGAAAUACCUCAGAGGGGCUUCCCUCCAGAGAAGCCCUGAAUGUGCCAGGAGGUUUCAGCCGGGAGAAAGGAGCUGUGGAAGAAAAGCAGCCUAAAAAUAGCCAGCGGGGAUCAUCAGGUUUUCCAGGCAAGAAGAACAAGGAGAGAGAUGAGGGAAUCACAUUCCAAUUCCUAAUGAUUUGGUGGGUGCAGGAAUGAUUUGUGUGUGUUUUCCAGUCCCUUUUGAUUCCUGGGAUGAUUUUAAAAUGAUGGCUUUAGCAAUCAACUAAA